rnacentral:tRNA from 1 species
GCCCAGGUAGCUCAGUCGGUAGAGCAGAGGACUGAAAAUCCUCGUGUCGGUGGUUCAAUUCCGCCCCUGGGCA